UACGAAGGGGGCUAGCGUUGUCCGGAAUUAUUGGGCGUAAAGAGCUCGUAGGCGGUUUGUCGCGUCUGCUGUGAAAACCUAAGGCUCAACCUUGGGCUUGCAGUGGGUACGGGCAGACUAGAGUGCGGUAGGGGUGACUGGAAUUCCUGGUGUAGCGGUGGAAUGCGCAGAUAUCAGGAGGAACACCGAUGGCGAAGGCAGGUCACUGGGCCGCAACUGACGCUGAGGAGCGAAAGCAUGGGGAGCGAACAGG
rnacentral:rRNA from 1 species